rnacentral:sRNA from 1 species
CAUUUUAUAAUUAAAUUUCUAAUGGUUUUCUAAUAAUUAUACAUGUUUGUGAUAACUUACCUUUUUGCUUAUGUAAUUGGUUUAAUUUCACCAAAGAAACUAGGAACUGUUUCUUUUAUUAUUUAUAGAAGCAAUAUUUAUAAUGUCUGACAAAUGUGUGACUUUGGAAAGUAAAAAUUUUUACUUUGUUGCAUGACUAAAGAGCUUAAUGAUUAAGAGAGAGUUGGCAAAAGAUUCUGAAUUACGAUCACAAAGUUGGGAGAGAUUUUUGCCGCAGUUCAAACAUAAAAAUGUGAAUAAACGCAAAGAACCAAAGAAAAAAACUGUUAAGAAAGAAUAUACGCCAUUCCCACCACCACAACCAGAAAGUCAGAUUGAUAAAGAAUUGGCUAGUGGUGAAUACUUUUUGAAGGCAAAUCAGAAGAAGCGGCAGAAAAUGGAAGCAAUAAAGGCUAAACAAGCAGAAGCCAUCAGUAAGAGACAAGAGGAAAGAAACAAAGCAUUUAUUCCACCUAAGGAAAAACCAAUUGUGAAACCUAAGGAAGCUUCUGCUGAAACUAAAAUUGAUGUGGCCAGCAUCAAGGAAAAGGUUAAGAAAGCAAAGAAUAAGAAACUGGGAGCUCUUACAGCUGAAGAAAUUGCGCUUAAGAUGGAGGCAGAUGAAAAG